UACGGGGGGGGCAAGCGUUGUUCGGAAUUACUGGGCGUGAAGGGCUCGUAGGCGGCCAACUAAGUCAGACGUGAAAUCCCUCGGCUUAACCGGGGAACUGCGUCUGAUACUGGAUGGCUUGAGUUUGGGAGGGGGAUGCGGAAUUCCAGGUGUAGAGGUGAAAUUCGUAGAUAUUCGGAAGAACACCAGUGGCGAAGGCGGCUCACUGGCCCGGUACUGACGCUGAGGUGCGAAAGCGUGGGGAGCAAACAGG
rnacentral:rRNA from 1 species